UACGUAGGGUGCAAGCGUUGUCCGGAAUUAUUGGGCGUAAAGAGCUCGUAGGCGGUUCGUCACGUCGGCUGUGAAAUCCCGAGGCUCAACCUCGGGUCUGCAGUCGAUACGGGCGGACUGGAGUACUGCAGGGGGAGACUGGAAAUUCCUGGUGUAGCGGUGAAAUGCGCAGAUAUCAGGAGGAACACCGGUGGCGAAGGCGGGUCUCUGGGGCAGUAACUGACGCUGAGGAGCGAAAGCGUGGGGAGCGAACAGG
rnacentral:rRNA from 1 species